AUGGCCUUCAAUAAAAUUGGUUCUUCAUUUUUGGAAGACUUUUGGGCUAAGCCACAAACUCAUCGACACAAUGCACAACAUAUAGAGUCCGAAGAAGAGCAAAAUCUGCAUAUGCAUGCUAAAGGAGCUGCCACCUGCUGGAUAAUGGAAUUGCUGAAAAUAUGUAUACUUUCAGAUGACCUGUAUCAGAAGAAGAAUGAUAGUGAUUGUGCCAUCUUCUUCUUUUUCUUUUUCUUUUCUUCAACUCUUCUACCCUCCGCCCCCUUCUUCCCCAAUCAACGAAAUCUCAUCGUCUGGGAUUCUCUGAAUUGAUAUGUUAUAAUUUUAAAA
rnacentral:misc_RNA from 1 species